UACGUAGGGUGCAAGCGUUGUCCGGAAUUAUUGGGCGUAAAGAGCUCGUAGGCGGUUUGUCGCGUCGAAUGUGAAAACCCGGGGCUCAAUCCCGGGCCUGCAUUCGAUACGGGCAGACUAGAGUUCGGUAGGGGAGUCUGGAAUUCCUGGUGUAGCGGUGAAAUGCGCAGAUAUCAGGAGGAACACCGAUGGCGAAGGCAGCCCCCUGGGCUAACACUGACGCUCAUGCACGAAAGCGUGGGGAGCAAACAGG
rnacentral:rRNA from 1 species